GUGGGGAAUCUUCCGCAAUGGACGAAAGUCUGACGGAGCGACGCCGCGUGAGUGAAGAAGGCCUUCGGGUCGUAAAGCUCUGUCAUCAGGGACGAACGGCCGGUGGAGUGGAAAGCCACCGGAUUGACGGUACCUGAGAAGGAAGCCACGGCUAACUACGUGCCAGCAGCCGCGGUAAUACGUAGGUGGCAAGCGUUGUCCGGAAUUAUUGGGCGUAAAGCGCGCGCAGGUGGGAUCUUAAGUCCAUUUUGAAAGUUCGGAGCUCAACUCCGUGAUGGGAUGGAAACUGGGAUUCUUGAGUACCGGAGAGGAAAGCGGAAUUCCCCGUGUAGCGGUGAAAUGCGUAGAUAUGGGGAGGAACACCAGUGGCGAAGGCGGCUUUCUGGACGGUGUCUGACACUGAGGCGCGAAAGCUAGGGGAGCGAACGGGAUUAGAAACCCCAGUAGUCC
rnacentral:rRNA from 1 species